UAGUAAUGGCACCAUAGCAGCUUUGACCUCUUCCCUUACUAGUACACAAAAUCCACAUUAUACUAUAUCAAUAUGAAUGAUCAUCAGGAAUCACAGUGACACAAAAAUCAGAUUAGAAGGAAACCAAAACGCUAAAUAAAUCGUGUUUUACUCACAUUGAGAAGCAGAAGUAAUAGCUUGGGAUCCAUUAUCUUCUUCCAGAAACUCGGAAUCACCCAUAAGUUUAACUUCUCUAGGCCUUUGUAUGGAAGAAAAUGGAGCUCGUGGAGAUGGAGCUGGAGCCUGUGAAAAUGUACUAACGUGUCUUCCUUUAGAAUAGGAGGUUGAUUUCGUCUUCGUCUUUAAGAAUUCCCCACAACAAGAACACCGGAUAAUGUCACUCUUCUCAAUCUGAAAAGCCUCGUCCCUGACCCUUGGUGCAGGCAGACUAAGAUGAAUAUGGUGGUGAUCAUCUUCUACAAAGCAUUCCAGAUCCUUGUGAAGAAUUCCAACUAGGGACUUGUA